rnacentral:rRNA from 1 species
GCCUACGGGGGGCAGCAGUGAGGAAUAUUGGUCAAUGGGCGCAAGCCUGAACCAGCCAAGUCGCGUGAGGGAUGACGGUCCUAUGGAUUGUAAACCUCUUUUGUCGGGGAGCAAAGCGCGGUACGAGUACCGUGAAGGAGAGUACCCGAAGAAAAAGCAUCGGCUAACUCCGUGCCAGCAGCCGCGGUAAUACGGAGGAUGCGAGCGUUAUCCGGAUUUAUUGGGUUUAAAGGGUGCGUAGGCGGAUUAGUAAGUCAGCGGUAAAAAUGCGGUGCUCAACGCCGUAUCGCCGUUGAAACUGCGGG